GUCUUGUACCUAUCUCACAAAAUCAAUACAAGCCACACGGCUACUUCAAAAACCUCUGCUACCUUUGUUCUAAGUUUUCAACUAUUACCCAAAAUUCAUCCAUCCUAUUAUUCAAAUACUAACAGUGGUACCAGAGCUACGUUCGAUCAUACAUUGGGCGUAGUUAUAUUACCUCCCUACUAUUUCAAAACUAUCCCAACUUCUAUUCAAAGUUCUCUUGCACUUAUAACCCACUUCUAUAAUUUUUCUAAGCUAUGGCUAACGCCACUCAACCUUCAUCUAUCUCUGUUCCUAUUUUUAAUGGAGAAAGCUAUGAUUAUUGGAGUGCAAAAAUGAAGACAUAUUUUUGCUUCCAAGACUGUUGGGAUGUCGUAGAAGAAGGAUAUACUGCUCCUGCAGAUACUUCAGCUCUCACUGCAGCACAAAUGAAAGAGCUGAAGGAGAAUAAGCUCAAAGAUUCAAAGGCGCUAUUCACUUUGUAACAGGCAGUGACCGACGCAAUUUUUCCAAGAAUAUUGGGUGCUAAAAGUGCAAAAGAGGCUUGGGAUACGUUAAAGGAGGAGUUCCAAGGUAGCGACAAGAAUAAAGGAUAUGGAGGGAAGAGGAAUUAUGGAGAAACUUCUAGAAGAAGAGACAAUUCUAGAAAUUUCUCCAAGAACAGUCAAGAUAAAAAUCCUCCAUGCAGCAUAUGCAAAAGGCUAGGUCACGCCGAGGCAGAUUGUCGGUACCGUGAUAAGCCACAAUGCAACUAGUGCAAGAAGUUUGGGCACGUGGAGAAAUAUUGCUACAAUAAAAAUAGACAUCAAGCUAACCUUACAGAAGAGCAAGAGCAAGAUCAAUAUCUUCUCUAUGUCACCCAAGACUCAGCUGGAGAAACAGGAGGAAGCUGGUACUUGGAUAGUGGUUGCAGCAAUCAUAUGGCCAAGGAUGAGAGUAUCUUCAAAACUAUUGAUGACUCUGUCAAAGUAAAAGUUCGUCUAGGAAAUGGCGCAGUGGUGGAGUCAAAAGGUAAAGGUACCGUCAUGGAAGAGACAAAGAAAGGUACGAAACUCAUCAGUGAUGUCUUACUAGUUCCCAACCUAAAGAAGAAUCUCUUAAGCAUUGGCCAAAUGAUAGAAAGAUGUUACACUCUUUACUUUGAAGGAGAUGUAUGCCGAAUCUAUGACAAACAUGACAAAAGGGUUGAGAUAGCCCAAGUGAAGAUGCAGAAGAGCAACAAAAGCUUCCCUCUAAAUUUCAAAUAUGUAGCUAACAUUGCCAUGAAAGCGCAAGCUGAUGAAUCAUGGCUUUGGCAUCGAAGAUUUGGACACUUCAACACAAGCGCACAGUUUAUACUAGUAUGCUCCUAAGCUUUGUUAGAAAAGUACUUAUAGGUAGAUCUGAGAAUGCACGACAUACAAUUGACAUAUGCGUUUAGUGGUGGUCUUUGAUGGUCACUAACGAACAGUGCAAAAAAAAAAGGGGAAUUGUUAUUCAGACCCCCCCCACAUCUAUUUGUACUCAAAACCAUUUCAGAAAUCCAAAAAUACAUCUGUCGAACGCA